AAAGCAAGGCACUGAAAAUGCCUAGAUGAGUAUAUUAACUCCAUAAACA
rnacentral:tRNA from 1 species